AUACGUAGGGGGCAAGCGUUAUCCGGAUUUAUUGGGUUUAAAGGGAGCGCAGGCGGAGAUGCAAGCGUGACGUCAAAUUUCGGGGCUCAACCCCGUCUCGCGUCGCGAACUGCGUCCCUUGGUUGCGGGAAGGGGAGGCGGAACUCGUGGUGUAGCGGUGAAAUGCAUAGAUAUCACGAAGAACUCCGAUCGCGAAGGCAGCCUUCCGGCCCGUCAACGACGCUCAUGCUCGAAGGUGCGGGUAUCAAACAGGAUUAGAUACCCUGGUAGUCCGCACAGUAAACGAUGGACACCCGCGGUUUGGCCUGUAUGGCUGAGCCGCCAAGCGAAAGCGUUAAGUGUCCCACCUGGGGAGUACGCCGGCAACGGUGAAACUCAAAGGAAUUGACGGGG
rnacentral:rRNA from 1 species